UAGGGAAUCUUCCGCAAUGGGCGAAAGCCUGACGGAGCAACGCCGCGUGAGUGAUGAAGGGUUUCGGCUCGUAAAACUCUGUUAUUAGGGAAGAACAAAUGUGUAAGUAACUGUGCACAUCUUGACGGUACCUAAUCAGAAAGCCACGGCUAACUACGUGCCAGCAGCCGCGGUAAUACGUAGGUGGCAAGCGUUAUCCGGAAUUAUUGGGCGUAAAGCGCGCGUAGGCGGUUUCUUAAGUCUGAUGUGAAAGCCCACGGCUCAACCGUGGAGGGUCAUUGGAAACUGGGAAACUUGAGUGCAGAAGAGGAAAGUGGAAUUCCAUGUGUAGCGGUGAAAUGCGCAGAGAUAUGGAGGAACACCAGUGGCGAAGGCGACUUUCUGGUCUGUAACUGACGCUGAUGUGCAAAAGCGUGGGGAUCAAACAGG
rnacentral:rRNA from 1 species